UAGUGAUAUCUGGCCGGGCGGAGGAAGC
rnacentral:piRNA from 1 species